CCUACGGGAGGCAGCAGUGAGGAAUAUUGGUCAAUGGGCGCGAGCCUGAACCAGCCAAGUCGCGUGAAGGAUGACUGCCCUACGGGUUGUAAACUUCUUUUAUAAAGGAGUAAAGUGAGGCACGUGUGCCUUUUUGUAUGUACUUUAUGAAUAAGGAUCGGCUAACUCCGUGCCAGCAGCCGCGGUAAUACGGAGGAUCCGAGCGUUAUCCGGAUUUAUUGGGUGUAAAGGGAGCGUAUAUGGGUAGUUAAGUUAGUUGGGAAAGUUUGGGGCUCAACCGUAAAAUUGCCAUUGAGACUGGGAGUCUUGAGUACAGUUGAGGUAGGCGGAAUGCGUGGUGUAGCGGUGAAAUGCUUAGAUAUCACGAAGAACCCCGAUUGCGAAGGCAGCUUACUAAACUGUGACUGACAUUGAUGCUCGAAAGUGUGGGUAUCAAACAGGAUUAGAUACCCCUGUAGUC
rnacentral:rRNA from 1 species